UGCAAGGUUAAGCAGUAAAUGUGGAGCCGUAGCGAAAGCGAGUCUGAAUAGGGCGUUUAGUAUUUGGUCGUAGACCCGAAACCAGGUGAUCUACCCUUGGUCAGGUUGAAGUUCAGGUAACACUGAAUGGAGGACCGAACCGACUUACGUUGAAAAGUGAGCGGAUGAACUGAGGGUAGCGGAGAAAUUCCAAUCGAACCUGGAGAUAGCUGGUUCUCUCCGAAAUAGCUUUAGGGCUAGCCUCAAGUGAUGAUUAUUGGAGGUAGAGCACUGUUUGGACGAGGGGCCCCUCUCGGGUUACCGAAUUCAGACAAACUCCGAAUGCCAAUUAAUUUAACUUGGGAGUCAGAACAUGGGUGAUAAGGUCCGUGUUCGAAAGGGAAACAGCCCAGACCACCAGCUAAGGUCCCAAAAUAUAUGUUAAGUGGAAAAGGAUGUGGCGUUGCCCAGACAACUAGGAUGUUGGCUUAGAAGCAGCCAUCAUUUAAAGAGUGCGUAAUAGCUCACUAGUCGAGUGACACUGCGCCGAAAAUGUACCGGGGCUAAACAUAUUACCGAAGCUGUGGAUUGUCCUUUGGACAAUGGUAGGAGAGCGUUCUAAGGGCGUUGAAGCAUGAUCGUAAGGACAUGUGGAGCGCUUAGAAGUGAGAAUGCCGGUGUGAGUAGCGAAAGACGGGUGAGAAUCCCGUCCACCGAUUGACUAAGGUUUCCAGAGGAAGGCUCGUCCGCUCUGGGUUAGUCGGGUCCUAAGCUGAGGCCGACAGGCGUAGGCGAUGGAUAACAGGUUGAUAUUCCUGUACCACCUAUAAUCGUUUUAAUCGAUGGGGGGACGCAGUAGGAUAGGCGAAGCGUGCGAUUGGAUUGCACGUCUAAGCAGUAAGGCUGAGUAUUAGGCAAAUCCGGUACUCGUUAAGGCUGAGCUGUGAUGGGGAGAAGACAUUGUGUCUUCGAGUCGUUGAUUUCACACUGCCGAGAAAAGCCUCUAGAUAGAAAAUAGGUGCCCGUACCGCAAACCGACACAGGUAGUCAAGAUGAGAAUUCUAAGGUGAGCGAGCGAACUCUCGUUAAGGAACUCGGCAAAAUGACCCCGUAACUUCGGGAGAAGGGGUGCUCUUUAGGGUUAACGCCCAGAAGAGCCGCAGUGAAUAGGCCCAAGCGACUGUUUAUCAAAAACACAGGUCUCUGCUAAACCGUAAGGUGAUGUAUAGGGGCUGACGCCUGCCCGGUGCUG
rnacentral:rRNA from 1 species